UACGAAGGGUGCAAGCGUUACUCGGAAUUACUGGGCGUAAAGCGUGCGUAGGCGGUUCGUUAAGUCAGAUGUGAAAGCCCCGGGCUCAACCUGGGAAUUGCAUUUGAUACUGGCGGGCUAGAGUACGGUAGAGGGUGGUGGAAUUCCCGGUGUAGCAGUGAAAUGCGUAGAGAUCGGGAGGAACAUCUGUGGCGAAGGCGGCCACCUGGACCAGUACUGACGCUGAGGCACGAAAGCGUGGGGAGCAAACAGGAUUAGAAACCCCCGUAGUCC
rnacentral:rRNA from 1 species